rnacentral:tRNA from 1 species
GGAGAGGUAGCUCAGUGGCUAAGAGCACUUGUUANUCUUGCCGAGGACCUGGGUUCGAUUCCCAGCACCUACA